rnacentral:rRNA from 1 species
CCUACGGGUGGCUGCAGUGAGGAAUAUUGGUCAAUGGACGAGAGUCUGAACCAGCCAAGUAGCGUGAAGGAUGACUGCUCUAUGGGUUGUAAACUUCUUUUAUAAGGGAAUAAAACGAGGCACGUGUGCCUUUUUGCAUGUACUUUAUGAAUAAGGAUCGGCUAACUCCGUGCCAGCAGCCGCGGUAAUACGGAGGAUCCGAGCGUUAUCCGGAUUUAUUGGGUUUAAAGGGAGCGUAGAUGGGUUGUUAAGUCAGUUGUGAAAGUUUGCGGCUCAACCAUAAAAUUGCAAUUGAUACUGGUGGACUUGAGAACAGUUGAGGUAGGCGGAAUGCAUGGUGUAGCGGUGAAAUGCUUAGAGAUCACACAGAACCCCGAUUGCGAAGGCAGCUUACUAAACUGUGACUGACAUUGAUGCUCGAAAGUGUGGGUAUCAAACAGGAUUAGAUACCCGAGUAGUC